rnacentral:lncRNA from 1 species
GUUAUUUUGAGAAAGUGGCACUGGAACCGAGUGACCACAAAAAACUAACUCUCCUCCGAACACAACACAACAAAGCUCUCACUUUUUAUCAGUUAUCAAAAUCCAACAUAAAACCUCCAUCAAAUCAAACAAUAGAUCUCAUUUACAAAAUCUUUACAAGAAACCCUCUUAAAACGAUCGCCCAAAAAAGUUAAAAAUCAACUCUUUUUUGAUCCAUCGAUACGGAAAAGAGAAAGAAAAGGGCACAAGAUUUAAAGAGAGAUAAAAAGGAAAAAAAAUGCAAAGCGGGGGAUCGAGUAACAAGCUAUCCAGUAUGAUUACUAGGACCAGGAUAUCAUCUAUAUUGCUUUCAAUGUUUACGUAGCUGGCAGGUUAGUGUUCUUAGAUUUUGUAUAUUGACAAUUGUGUUUGAUUCACUGCUAUGUGAUUUUUUUUUUUUGGUAAAAAAAUGAAUUUUUUAACGUUCAAUUUGGUAAAAAUGUGAUUUUUUUUUAUCUGGGCUGGUGAUAGAUUGUGGCAGGAUGCUCAGACCAGAGUUCGUUUGAUUAAAGAGCCGGAUAGAAUCACUGGUCAUGUGAUUUUUUUUUUUUGCUUUUUAAAUUAUUGUCUGGGUGAUUUUGGUUUAGAAAGUUACCUGUCUAAAUGCGGUUAAUCACAAAUUUGAAUUUCACUAGUCAUUUGGUGUAUAUUGUAUAUGACUAUUAAGUGGUUGAUUGAUGUUUAGGGCAAAUCUGCUAUAUCAGUGGAUGAUACUCUGGAAAUCAUAGCAUGCAGGAAAAUAUAAUCCCUGUUGAACAUUCCCAUAAUGCAAUUCAGUAAAGCAUGGAUGGGAACUGGUAAACUAUUUCUUUCUUUCUAUUCCUUGCCUCCUUUUUUCCUAUGUGCAAGAUUGGCUUUGUCCAGGUGUUUUUUUUUUUUUUUGGUGCAUAAACGGCAUUGUUGUAUUCAUUAUAGUUCAUUUGUCCAGUAUUUAGAGUUCCAGAUGCUGAACAGGAUUAAUCACAGGACAUUAACAUAAAUAAAAGAUUUGUUGUAUAGUUACGGGAAUUUAAGGUUAUUAUGUUAAGGUAGAAGUUAGUUUUUAAAGGGAACCCUAAGGAUUACCAGCACAGCACCAUGCUGCAAAAUAUGCUCAUUUGAUAUAGUUAAAAGGUGUAACUUUUCUUUAGGGAAGAGAAGUUUUAUAUCACAUUCAAACUCAUUUAAUAUAUGUUAAUGUUGACAAAUAUUACAUCAAACUGUUAAAAUUUUUAGACAUAAAGUUAUAUGGCGCCAAAGGUAGGGCAGACAAGUGAGUACUCGUUGCUGUUGCUAAAAUGCUUGCAAUGGAGGUGUCAAGUUGUUUACCAGAUUGGAAAGCAAGCUCUGUGGAAACACUAAUUAGAUGCUUUUGUUAGUUUUGUAGGAAGUGUGUUAAGGAAUAUUAAUGGAUAAUUUUACUGUCAUUCAAGAGAAUUACCUAACAAUCUCACACUUCAUGGGCAUUUUCAGACUGAUGCAACAAGCAUUGGUGCAUAAUAUGUCUGAAUUUGUAAAGAAUUGCUCUAGCAUGAUGUAUUUAAUAGUCUACUGGUUAGAUCCUCAGGUUCAGCUAACUCAACCUAAUGAAGGAAAAAACAUUCCUCUUCUUUUUUUGUUCUCUCUAGCCGGGCUAUGCUAAAGGGAUACUACACAUCUACUUGUUGAAAAUCUGUACAAGGCUUCUAGAAAUUGGUGAAAAUUAGUAUAAGACUUUUAGAAAUU